rnacentral:lncRNA from 1 species
UGCUUUGGGCACUGAAAUAAUUAGACGAUGUCUGAGAUUGUGGCAAUAUUUCGUUUUAACCAGAAGAUUGUGACAUAGGUCUUAUCAGUUUCCUUGGGGAGUGUAAUAUAUUAAAAAAAAAUAAUUAUGCAAAAUAUUUAGGCGAUAAUUAUACAUUCUUUAAGUAUAACAUUUAUGCUUUGAUUGUUCAAAUAUUUAUUAUCAUUUUUCAUAUUUAUUUAUAAGACCUUAUUCACCAAACUAUAUUUCAGAUACCAGGACAUCAGUUCAUCACUUUGUUCCACCAUCAAACUGAUCAAAACAACUAUGUCAUGAUAAGACUCAAUGAAAGAUUGUGAGGAAGGGAAACUGGAUAUAACUAAGCAUGUGUGUCCUGAACUUUAAUGCAUAUAUUUGACUUUGCCCUUCAUUACUAAUUUCUGAACCAGUUUUAUCUCGAAAUGUUGUCUUUUUGUGACCAAUCUGAAUGAGAAAAAUUAAUUUUGUGGGAGGCGGGAGUAGGGGGCUGGGGAAGGAUGUUCAAUUUGUGACGAAAUAAUAAUAUUAUCAAACCUAAGUUUAAAACACGAAGUGUGAAAAUAAGUUAAGUGAGGUGUUGUUUUUUCCCUCGAAUAGUAAUUUCGGCAUCUGACAUCGUGGUGCUUAGCUGGUACCACGCAGUCUGCGCCGCUCGCUGCAACACGGCUUCACAUUAGGCAUUAACAUUCAGAAUAUACACCGUUGUUUCUUUUCCACUUUUCAUACAAUCACACACAUGCCCACAUGCAUCCGGGAACGAAAUAGAUAUUUCAUAAAAAUAUAACCUUCUCUCUCUCUCUCUCUCCCUCCCUUUCUUUCUCUCUCUCUCUCUCUCUCUCUCUCUCUCUCUCUCUCUCUCUCUCUCUCUUGACAGGGUAUAAAUAGAAAAGGAAAAUGUGUCAAAUGGCAGACCCUAAUCCACAAAAUGAACUCACUGUAAGCUAUUUCAAAGUUUCUAGUGUACAUUUUUUAAAUGUGAAUCUGUUACUCUCUUAUAUGAAUCUUAUCUUGCCAGAAUUGAUUUAAUUAGUUUGAUAACCGAGCCAAGUGACGAAUGCGAUAUCCCAAUACAGAAAUAUGCUGGAUACUGAUAACCUCAAAGGGAAUUCCACAUCCCCUGAUAAGAUUACUUAGAAAUAUCCUUAAUAAAAUGAGGAGCGUGUGUUGCCACGGUCCUGGGUAUCGUCUUCAUAUUCCAGAAGCUAACAAUAGCUCGGGGGAACACAGGCCUGUUUCAUUAACCACCUGCCUUUGUAAAACCUUCAAGGGAAUUGUUCCGAACAGGUUGAAGUAUAGAACUAAAACUCGUAGGAUAUAUAGAGGCUUUUUUAUCUAAAAGCUGAAUUCGAUGUAACGAAAAGGCAAAUAAUCUUACAUGAAUUAACGAAAUAGGUGUAGGUGGGGACGUCCUGAGGUCGAUAAAUGCAUAUUACAAAAAAUGGAGAGUCAGUUUUCGUCAUGAAGGCUAUUAAUGUAAGAAUCUAAAGAAAUGCUGUCCUUAGCCGCAGUUAUUGAACAUUUUAAUUAAUACUCUUAUUUAGAAGUUCGAAAUCGAAGUAAAUUGCACCACCAUGAGCUAUGUUGACGACAAACUGAUUUACGCCAAAAGACAUCAAAGGUGCACUUGAUUACAUUUCUUCACCAUUUAAUGAAUUAGGUUUAGUUAAUUAUAUCGGUAAAACCAGGGUAUGCAUCAAUGAUGUUAACGACAGGAAAAAUGGCAUUCUAUAUUGACGAAAACAGGAUAGCGCAAAUUUUAACGUACAAAUAUCGAGGCAUCAUUAUCAAUACGGGUUAUAUGAUGCAUUACAGAAACAGACAGAACUUCUUUGUCCAUGCCUGUUUUAUAUUGUUAUUUUUUUGUUUGUUUUCCCAUCACGGCGCUCCAACAAGUGAGACUAACCCCAUAGCUAUGGUUUUCCAUAGAUAGGCCUACGCCGUUUGAUCCCCCUCUUUUUUCCUAAUUAAUUUAUCUUGUAGGUUAAUUUAUCUCAUUCUUAAUUUUAUUGUGUCGAGGCGUUUUUCUCCCCCUGUUUCGUGCCUUUCACUUUUCACAGGCUUCACUCGCACGAUACAUGUCAUUCGAAAGAGCUCAUUGUGUACACUGACAAACGUUGCUUAAAUUUAGAAUAGAAUAUAUGAGUAACGUACUAGGAGGGCUCAAGGGUAUAGUGGUCUUAGGUAAGGGGUUAAGUUAAGUAUGCUGAUGGUAAUAAGUUAUAAAGAGAGACGCAGCUAGACAUUUGGGGGCCAAGGGGGUGGGACAAGGUCCCUGUGAAGGGUUCCCUAUAAUUUUGAAGAUUGAUGAAAAAACAUACUUAACAAAAUACUAAAACAAAAAAAUACUAAUUUGAAUAUUAAACAAAAAAUCCUUAUGCUUGUACGCAAACCCUUAAAUUUAAGCAGAAAUGAAAAAAAAAGUAAUAACGUAAUGACAAGGAUUUUUCAAUAAUUUAUUACGCCAUUCAGAAUUAAGCUGUCCAAUAUCUAGGUUGCAAUGAAGUUCUUAAGACAUUGUGCUUCUCGGAUAAGAAAUAGUCAUUUCUAACUUGGAUUUUUUUUUCACAUGUUGUUAAAAACAUUGUCAGUUUAAGUACUAUUCCAAUAGCAGAUGAUACAUUAAUGCAAAUAUCACUACCACUGGUCAUAUAAGACAGCAUUGAUAUAUUUCCAUGAGUCAGUGUGUAUAUCGAUUGUUAUCAAUAUGUUUCAAUGUAUCAAUUUAGGCCUGAUAAUGUAUUUUACUAUUGUAUUUCUUUCCAUAAUAUUACCAUAGCAUUAUCAUAUAAAGGUCACAUUUUACAUAUGUGAUCGAUGUGUAACAUUUAUAAUAUUUAUUUCCUUCCUCGCUUUGCCUAACCUCUUGUGGAAGAUUGAUUUCGAACAAGUGAUAACAAAAAAUGAAUUUAAAAAAAUGUGAAUUGUGUCGAAGGCCCUUUCGCUUUAAUGCUCCGUCAGGGACUUGAGAAGAGGAACACGUUUGAACAUACGAGUAUAUCUUAAAAUGUGUUCAUGCUGAACAAGUGAUAAAAAUAACGAAGGGAAUACCAAGUCAACACACGAUCAUGCCGAAGGCUGUUUCACUUUAAUGCUUCAUCAGGAUAUGUAGUUCUGAGAAAAUAAAGUCUUAACUUCGCUGAUUUAUUCAAAUCUAAUAAUAAACGUGAAAUCCAAGCUCAGCGACGAGUUCCGCGUCGUUAAAGACCAUCAAGCGUCUGUGAUGUAUUGCCGACUGUUGUUUUUUUUCUUCAGGAUAUUGUAUUUAUGCACUCUUUCUUCAGUCUAAGACUAGUUCCCUUGUUUUUUUUAUGAAUAUCUUGUCUAUCUUGUCGAGGUCUUCACAUUUAGCAGGAUGUGCACAUUUAGCAGGGUUACAUUUGAAUCGUCAGCUUGAGAAUGCAUUUUGGAAUUUCCACGCACGGUUGUGAUUUGCCUCCACUGGUGAAAUUGGCCAGGUAGACUGGCACUGAUUUUACACCACGGUCGCACUGAAUUGGGGUUGAUUGUGUUAAGUCAAGGUCCACGCAAUUAUAUCAGGAUGCAGGAAGCUGGUUGAGAUGGUUGAGAAAACCAAAUUCAGUCUCAUUAUAACAGCCUCCCAUUCCUCGGGGACAAGGAAUAUGAACAUAAAUUCUUUUGGGAAGAUAACCUUUUUCCUCAUUUUUGACGAAGAAGCAGUGGGAUCCUCGUAUCGACUAGUUUGUGCCCACAAACAACGUAAAGUAAAAGGGAGGCCGGGGGUAUUUCGAGUAGACGGGGGCGGAUGGGACUACAUUUACUUAUUCGUUCAGCGGAUCGUCAGAAUAUUAGCUCUCCUUUUCAAUUUGCAAAUUAUUUUUCUUUUUAUUAUUAUUAUUAUUUUAUUUAUUUAUUUAUUUAUUUAUUUACGGUAGCUGCUUCGUUCUCAUCUUGGGACUGAUUAGAUUCCGUCGUGGAUUUUUUAGUAUAAUUGCCCGUAUUUCGUGAAAGUGUGUUAACAGAUGUUCUUUAAUUUUAUGACACUUUAGUUGUCCUCUUAUCGCCUACAUUGACCUGGGAAACACGACUUUUGUGUAAAGGUUAUUAUCAAAUAAAAUAGAAUAUAUAAUCGAUUUCAUUUACCCUUCUAAGAAGUUGGCUGAGCUUAUUCGCUGUAGUGGUUAAUUGAUUUUUUGUUUUAGUUUACUUAACCAACUAGUUGUCAUAUUUUAAACAAACACUUAUUUAGAAUUACAAGAUAGAAAAAGGAUCUAUUGGAAAUACAGUUAACGAUAAAAAACACCAUGUAUGAUAUUUACAGGAGAAAAAUUAAACUUGUAAAAAUAGAUAAAUAAAUAGUAAAUAGCUUUGGAGAGACUGGACCUCAGCCCUUCGCCUCAACUAAUUUUGCAUAGUCUCUUCUCCCCCUUUCAUUUUCCUUCUCUUCUUCACCCCCUUCUUCUAUCCAUUUUCUAAAGUGUGGGAGCCGUUCUGAAAGGACGAAGGGCUUGCUUUGUCAGCCAUAAACGGCCUCCGGGAGUCAUGAGCAAGGUGUUCCCGUGGUUAAUCGCCUGGUCCUUACCCCUCAUAGAGACCCUGAGGGGUAGACCACUGAUACUAAUACCCCAUCUUUGAUGUUUGCUGUCAACUCUAUCCAUUUCGAAUCAUCCAUCCAGGUCAUUGCUCAACCUUCAGAAUACAUUCCUUCCUUUCCCAACAUCCUCCACUCUAUCUCCUACUGCAGUCUUCUUCAUCGUCUACAACACCUCCGUUAUUACUACUCUUUAUCCAUAUUGUUCUCCUCCCAACAGCACUACCUCUCUCCAUACUACCCCAUCUUCUUCCCGCCCUCACCCUUCUACUGUUUCUAUCUCUGCAAACCUUCUGAGUACCCAUUUUGGCCCAGCCAAGUGGGGUCGCUUCUUUGAUUCCCCCUACAACCCCAUACUCUGGCAAUACACUUCUUUUCCAACAAAGGCAAAGUUUCGCCUUGUCACAGUUACAUCUGAGUCCCAAGCUAGUGCACUAUCUACCCUGACUGAUCUGACUGGCAAAAACCUAUUCCUGCCCAUCCUCACUCCUCCCUUAAUACUUAUACCGGAAAUAUUUCCGUCUCCCUGACUGAUUGUCUUGUCUAUGACAAGGACUGGUCAGACUGAAAACGCCUUGCACGCAUGCCUCGUCGACUAUGAUGCAGUGACAGUCCAGUGCUACACUAUUCCUUCCAGAGGCCAAGCGCUGCUGUGGACCCUCCAUCGGUACCUGCAGCUACCUCCUGCACAAAGUUAGUAGCAGCCUGAGUCACUGGAGGUGUUGGGGGUCCAGCCUGAGAGAUAGAGGACAUCUUCACUCUUGCACUUUCUCUCUUCUGUCGGUGAAUUUCUUCUCAUGAAGUUCUCCACAUCCUGGUCAGAGAGACGACCAUGCUCCUGGACAAUAGACUUCAGUUUCUGGUACACACACUCAGCCAUGGUACAGUCACCACAUACAUAAAAGUGUCCCUUCUGCUCUACAACUUGACGAUACA